UCAUGCAAUCAUCGCCUUACCAUGUAAGUUUUUAAUCCCCCCUUUUAUAACUUUUGUUGCGAUUCCUUUUGCUUUUGAAGCACUGAACUUUGGAAGAGUGAAACAAUAAGUUGUGCUGGAUUUAGUUGGAUGGAUCAUUGAGUUUCUCUUCCAUUCUAUUGCUGCUGUGAUGAUUGGCUAUUGUCAAUUCAAAGGUUAAAGGAGGCGAAAGCUAUUUAUAUGCCCUACUUCUAUUGUUUGCUGAAGAUUUAUACAUAUGUACACACUUAGAAUCUAGAGAAGUUGAUCAUCUAAGGUUUUUCUGACAAGGAAUAGACUAAUAUAAUUAGUAGCCUAAUUCAUGAAAUUGAUUCUUUGUGUUGAUUAGUACUUUUGCGAAUCAACAUACUAAGUUUUCAUGAAUCAAGAUUCUGGAACUUGCAAAAUGGAAUAGAGAUUUGUUGGCAGAAAUUUGAAACCUAGUUGUC
rnacentral:misc_RNA from 1 species